AAUACAAAAAGACAUAACAAAAUAAACAUGAAAAUGCAAAUAAACAACUAAAAAAAAAUCAAAUAAGUUAUUAGCUAUUCUAGUUUAUAUUAGAAAAAUACUUUCUAAAACAAAGAACUUAGACAAAAUAACAGGAGGGAGGAGGAGGAUAGACGGAAUAUUGCAAAACUUAUUAACAAAGAAUGGCACAGCAGAGCCACAGUAGCAAUAUGUAAAAUACAAUUUGCCAGCGUAUGCAAAUGAAUAAGAAUAAUUUUGGAAUACUUUGCAAAACAAAAAUAAAUAGAAAAAAAGAA